UACAGAGAGUGCGAACGUUGUUCGGAAUUACUGGGCUUAAAGCGCACGUAGGCGGUGCUGUAAGUGUCAGGUGAAAUCCCUCGGCUCAACUGAGGAACUGCCUUUGAAACUGUCGGGCUCGAGGCCGGGAGGGGGUAGCGGAAUUCCCAGUGUAGCGGUGAAAUGCGUAGAUAUUGGGAGGAACACCGGUGGCGAAGGCGGCUACCUGGACCGGUUCUGACGCUGAUGUGCGAAAGCGUGGGUAGCAAACAGG
rnacentral:rRNA from 1 species